rnacentral:rRNA from 1 species
AUGAACGCUAGCUACAGGCUUAACACAUGCAAGUCGAGGGGCAGCAUGGUCUUAGCUUGCUAAGACUGAUGGCGACCGGCGCACGGGUGAGUAACACGUAUCCAACCUGCCGUCUACUCUUGGACAGCCUUCUGAAAGGAAGAUUAAUACAAGAUGGCAUCAUGAGUCCGCAUGUUCACAUGAUUAAAGGUAUUCCGGUAGACGAUGGGGAUGCGUUCCAUUAGAUAGUAGGCGGGGUAACGGCCCACCUAGUCUUCGAUGGAUAGGGGUUCUGAGAGGAAGGUCCCCCACAUUGGAACUGAGACACGGUCCAAACUCCUACGGGAGGCAGCAGUGAGGAAUAUUGGUCAAUGGGCGAGAGCCUGAACCAGCCAAGUAGCGUGAAGGAUGACUGCCCUAUGGGUUGUAAACUUCUUUUAUAAAGGAAUAAAGUCGGGUAUGUAUACCCGUUUGCAUGUACUUUAUGAAUAAGGAUCGGCUAACUCCGUGCCAGCAGCCGCGGUAAUACGGAGGAUCCGAGCGUUAUCCGGAUUUAUUGGGUUUAAAGGGAGCGUAGAUGGAUGUUUAAGUCAGUUGUGAAAGUUUGCGGCUCAACCGUAAAAUUGCAGUUGAUACUGGAUAUCUUGAGUGCAGUUGAGGCAGGCGGAAUUCGUGGUGUAGCGGUGAAAUGCUUAGAUAUCACGAAGAACUCCGAUUGCGAAGGCAGCCUGCUAAGCUGCAACUGACAUUGAGGCUCGAAAGUGUGGGUAUCAAACAGGAUUAGAUACCCUGGUAGUCCACACUGUAAACGAUGGAUACUAGGUGUAGGGGAUAAUAAAUCUUCUGUGCCGCCGCAAACGCAAUAAGUAUCCCACCUGGGGAGUACGGCCGCAAGGUUGAAACUCAAAGGAAUUGACGGGGGCCCGCACAAGCGGUGGAGCAUGUGGUUUAAUUCGAAGCAACGCGAAGAACCUUACCAGGGCUUGACAUAUACAGGAAUAUAUAAGAGAUUAUAUAGCUCUUCGGAGUCUGUAUACAGGUGGUGCAUGGUUGUCGUCAGCUCGUGUCGUGAGAUGUUGGGUUAAGUCCCGCAACGAGCGCAACCCUUAUUCUUAGUAGCCAGCAGGUAAGGCUGGGCACUCUAAGGAGACUGCCGGGGAUAACCCGGAGGAAGGUGGGGAUGACGUCAAAUCAGCACGGCCCUUACGUCCGGGGCUACACACGUGUUACAAUGGGGGGUACAGAGGGCCGCUACCACGCGAGUGGAUGCCAAUCCCAAAAACCUCUCUCAGUUCGGACUGGAGUCUGCAACCCGACUCCACGAAGCUGGAUUCGCUAGUAAUCGCGCAUCAGCCACGGCGCGGUGAAUACGUUCCCGGGCCUUGUACACACCGCCCGUCACACCAUGAGAGUUGGCAACACCCGAAGCCGGCGGCCCAACCCGCAAGGGAGGGAGCUGUCUAAGGUGGGGCUGAUGAUUGGGGUG